CCCUUAGAUGUUCUGGGCCGCACGCGCGCUACACUGACGGAGGCAGCGAGCAUGUCCUUCGCCGAGAGGUGUGGGGAAUCUUGUGAGUCUCCGUCGUGCUGGGGAUAGAUGGUUGCAAUUGUCGAUCUUGAACGAGGAAUUCCUAGUAAGCGCGAGUCAUCAGCUCGCGCUGAUUACGUCCCUGCCCUUUGUACACACCGCCCGUCGCUACUACCGAUUGGAUGGCUUAGCGAGAAUUUUGGAUCGGAGCCCGGGUGGUCGGCAACGGUCGCCCGGGAGAUCUGAGAAAUCAUUCCAACUUGGUCAUCUAGAGGAAGUAAAAGUCGUAACA
rnacentral:rRNA from 1 species